AUUUCCUCUCCUCCUUCCCUGUGCCUCUUUGGAGACAUUAGAGAGAUGCCCUUGUUGUGCUCUAUAUCUUUAUAAAUCUGGUGUUUAUGUUCUCUGGAGAGGUGAUAUGCCAGUUUUCCCUCUUCCUAUUCCAGAUAUCCUACUGAAUGUUUCCUUCUUCCUGGAAGAGUAAGGAAACUUCACGUUUAUGUGGAGACCAGAAGCACCACAGUUGAAGACUGACAUUGCUGCACUGUGAUAUUUCUAAAGAAACAUCAGCAUAACAACCUGACAUGUUUGAAAUAUCAAUGCCUAAAACCCAAGGACUGGGUCCUGAGAGGAUUGAUGGUAAAUGUCUCUGGGGCUUCUCCAUGCCAGACCGUGCCAAGGGUUCCUGGGCCAUUGCUUGCCCUUCCUGAGGUUCAGGGCAAUGGAGGAGAUAGAGAGAAAGCAGGAAAGGCAGUACUGAUAAACCUGUCUGUAUCAUAAGGACCAAGCAGCAGGGAGGGAAAGGACAGGAGAUAAAGGGCAGAAGUCACCUGUGGCAUUAUCUGAAGCACCAAGUCUGACUGAUAUCGGAUCCUGGCUUUGUGUCUGUACUUGACACCUUGAAGAACGAAAAAGAGGUUUUGAUGAUUUAAAGGAGUAAGGAUAUGGCUGGGGGGGGUAUGGUUCAGUAGUAGAGCUUGUGUUUGGCAUGUUUGAACCCCUGGCUUCAAUCCCCAGCACCAAAAAAAUAAAAAAUAAACUAAGAAGAAAAGAGAGAAGGAUGACAGGUUGCAGUAGUUUCUUAUCAAGUGAUUUCCAUUUCCAAAGCCUGCCACCAGGGGGAGGUGGUGCAGUAUGAAUUGUCUGGUUGCUUUUGUCUUGGAGAGCAGAUCUCCUGUUGCUGUUACCAUCUGAGAGAAAAUAACUGGGGAAAGUGAGACUUCCAAAAAGACAGGGUGUUUUUGGCCAAAGGUGGCAUCACACUUGCCACAUUUUUUUGAGUUGGAGUAGCUGCAUGGGUGGGAGAGAGCCAGGAUAGGCAGGUGACUGGAGUGUGGGACUAAGGGCCCUGGCCUUCAUGUGUGCAAUGAUUGUGUGCCUGUGGAAGUCUCAUGACUGACAUAAAGGGACUUAGUAAGGAGUAGAGAUAUUUUUCAAAAUGAAAAUGGCUGUUUAUUUUUUUAUUACCAUGCUUUUUAAAAAGAUUGUAAGAAAACUAGGAAAAAAUUUAAAAGGUAUAAAUAAAUUAACUCCACCAAAGGCAUUUUGGUAUAUGUUCCUUUAGGGGCAACUUACAAUUUUUUUUUUUUUAAGCAUGAUACCAUCAAUAUAUACUGUUGUCUUUUAAAACAUUAUAGCAUGGCAUUUUUUCAUAUAUGUAAAUAUACCUCAGCACAAUUAUACACCAUUGUAUGUAUCAUAUACCAUUUUGUGAAUGUUAUAAAUUUUACAUUUCAUCUUACAUUUUACAUAGUUUUCUAAAUCUUUUGUGUUUUUCUACCUAUAAAGGUAAUACAUUCUGAUUGUAGAAAAAUUGAAGUAUUGCAUAGAAAUAUACUUUGUCCACUUACCAAAUAACUAGUAUUAAUAAAAUGGUAUUUUAUUCCUCCAGUAAUUAAAAAAAUCUGUCAUAUACAUAAUUAUUAUAAAUAAAACUUAGAAAACA
rnacentral:lncRNA from 1 species